GAAGGGGGUCAAAACACAAAGAACUG
rnacentral:tRNA from 1 species